rnacentral:sRNA from 1 species
AGUUAGAAAAAGCCCGGGCUAGGACCGAGGAGCAGGGUGAGGGAGGGGGUGGGAUGGGUGGGGGGUAACGGGGGAAACUGGGGAAGUGGGGAACCGAGGGGCAACCAGGGGAAGAUGGGGUGCUGGAGGAGAGCUUGUGGGAGCCAAGGAGCACCUUGGACAUCUGGAGUCUGGCAGGAGUGAUGACGGGUGGAGGGGCUAGCUCGAGGCAGGGCUGGUGGGGCCUGAGGCCAGUGAGGAGUGUGGAGUAGGCGCCCAGGCAUCGUGCAGACAGGGCGACAUCAGCUGGGGACGAUGGGCCUGAGCUAGGGCUGGAAAGAAGGGGGAGCCAGGCAUUCAUCCCGGUCACUUUUGGUUACAGGACGUGGCAGCUGGUUGGACGAGGGGAGCUGGUGGGCAGGGUUUGAUCCCAGGGCCUGGGCAACGGAGGUGUAGCUGGCAGCAGCGGGCAGGUGAGGACCCCAUCUGCCGGGCAGGUGAGUCCCUUCCCUCCCCAGGCCUCGCUUCCCCAGCCUUCUGAAAGAAGGAGGUUUAGGGGAUCGAGGGCUGGCGGGGAGAAGCAGACACCCUCCCAGCAGAGGGGCAGGAUGGGGGCAGGAGAGUUAGCAAAGGUGACAUCUUCUCGGGGGGAGCCGAGACUGCGCAAGGCUGGGGGGUUAUGGGCCCGUUCCAGGCAGAAAGAGCAAGAGGGCAGGGAGGGAGCACAGGGGUGGCCAGCGUAGGGUCCAGCACGUGGGGUGGUACCCCAGGCCUGGGUCAGACAGGGACAUGGCAGGGGACACAGGACAGAGGGGUCCCCAGCUGCCACCUCACCCACCGCAAUUCAUUUAGUAGCAGGCACAGGGGCAGCUCCGGCACGGCUUUCUCAGGCCUAUGCCGGAGCCUCGAGGGCUGGAGAGCGGGAAGACAGGCAGUGCUCGGGGAGUUGCAGCAGGACGUCACCAGGAGGGCGAAGCGGCCACGGGAGGGGGGCCCCGGGACAUUGCGCAGCAAGGAGGCUGCAGGGGCUCGGCCUGCGGGCGCCGGUCCCACGAGGCACUGCGGCCCAGGGUCUGGUGCGGAGAGGGCCCACAGUGGACUUGGUGACGCUGUAUGCCCUCACCGCUCAGCCCCUGGGGCUGGCUUGGCAGACAGUACAGCAUCCAGGGGAGUCAAGGGCAUGGGGCGAGACCAGACUAGGCGAGGCGGGCGGGGCGGAGUGAAUGAGCUCUCAGGAGGGAGGAUGGUGCAGGCAGGGGUGAGGAGCGCAGCGGGCGGCGAGCGGGAGGCACUGGCCUCCAGAGCCCGUGGCCAAGGCGGGCCUCGCGGGCGGCGACGGAGCCGGGAUCGGUGCCUCAGCGUUCGGGCUGGAGACGAGGCCAGGUCUCCAGCUGGGGUGGACGUGCCCACCAGCUGCCGAAGGCCAAGACGCCAGGUCCGGUGGACGUGACAAGCAGGACAUGACAUGGUCCGGUGUGACGGCGAGGACAGAGGAGGCGCGUCCGGCCUUCCUGAACACCUUAGGCUGGUGGGGCUGCGGCAAGAAGCGGGUCUGUUUCUUUACUUCCUCCACGGAGUCGGCACACUAUGGCUGCCCUCUGGGCUCCCAGAACCCACAACAUGAAAGAAAUGGUGCUACCCAGCUCAAGCCUGGGCCUUUGAAUCCGGACACAAAACCCUCUAGCUUGGAAAUGAAUAUGCUGCACUUUACAACCACUGCACUACCUGACUCAGGAAUCGGCUCUGGAAGCUAGAGGAACCAGACCUCAUCAGCCCAACAUCAAAGACACCAUCGGAACAGCAGCGCCCGCAGCACCCACCCCGCACCGGCGACUCCAUCUUCAUGGCCACCCCCUGCGGCGGACGGUUGACCACCAGCCACCACAUCAUCCCAGAGCUGAGCUCCUCCAGCGGGAUGACGCCGUCCCCACCACCUCCCUCUUCUUCUUUUUCAUCCUUCUGUCUCUUUGUUUCUGAGCUUUCCUGUCUUUCCUUUUUUCUGAGAGAUUCAAAGCCUCCACGACUCUGUUUCCCCCGUCCCUUCUGAAUUUAAUUUGCACUAAGUCAUUUGCACUGGUUGGAGUUGUGGAGACGGCCUUGAGUCUCAGUACGAGUGUGCGUGAGUGUGAGCCACCUUGGCAAGUGCCUGUGCAGGGCCCGGCCGCCCUCCAUCUGGGCCGGGUGACUGGGCGCCGGCUGUGUGCCCGAGGCCUCACCCUGCCCUCGCCUAGUCUGGAAGCUCCGACCGACAUCACGGAGCAGCCUUCAAGCAUUCCAUUACGCCCCAUCUCGCUCUGUGCCCCUCCCCACCAGGGCUUCAGCAGGAGCCCUGGACUCAUCAUCAAUAAACACUGUUACAGCAAAAAAAAAAAAAAAA